rnacentral:lncRNA from 1 species
CUUCCCUUGUGUAUUAAUAGUUUGGAUUUGUUGAAACGGAGUUAAUAGAUUGCAUAACAGAAGAAAGCUCUGUGCCUAAGAUUCAGAGGCUCAGAGCUGUUGUUUUAACUGACACUGGCUUGCCCUUCCAGGAAGCCUGGGGAGAGAGCGACGAGCGAGAGUACUGCCUGGAGACCACCGCCCAAGUUGAGGAGAAAAAGCAAAUCCCAAGGCUGACUCCACUCUUACUCAUCUGGACAGGGGAUAUAUGUAUUAUAAGCAAGACAUAACUGAACCCUCAAAACCAGUUCUCUCUUUUUCAACAUCAUUGAGCUAUUUAGCAGGACAGCAAGGGAACAAUCCUCUCCUGGAAGGUGAGUUCUGGGUUAUUCCAAAGACAGCCGUUUCGCUUUUCCCAUUCGCACUAUAAGAUCUUGCUAGCUGCUCCCGAGUCAC